GGGUUGUGAGGUUAAGCGACUAAGCGUACACGGUGGAUGCCCUGGCAGUCAGAGGCGAUGAAGGACGUGCUAAUCUGCGAUAAGCGUCGGUAAGGUGAUAUGAACCGUUAUAACCGGCGAUUUCCGAAUGGGGAAACCCAGUGUGUUUCGACACACUAUCAUUAACUGAAUCCAUAGGUUAAUGAGGCGAACCGGGGGAACUGAAACAUCUAAGUACCCCGAGGAAAAGAAAUCAACCGAGAUUCCCCCAGUAGCGGCGAGCGAACGGGGAGCAGCCCAGAGCCUGAAUCAGUAUGUGUGUUAGUGGAAGCGUCUGGAAAGGCGCGCGAUACAGGGUGACAGCCCCGUACACAAAAAUGCACAUGCUGUGAGCUCGAUGAGUAGGGCGGGACACGUGGUAUCCUGUCUGAAUAUGGGGGGACCAUCCUCCAAGGCUAAAUACUCCUGACUGACCGAUAGUGAACCAGUACCGUGAGGGAAAGGCGAAAAGAACCCCGGCGAGGGGAGUGAAAAAGAACCUGAAACCGUGUACGUACAAGCAGUGGGAGCUCGCUUAGGCGUGUGACUGCGUACCUUUUGUAUAAUGGGUCAGCGACUUAUAUUCUGUAGCAAGGUUAACCGAAUAGGGGAGCCGAAGGGAAACCGAGUCUUAACUGGGCGUUAAGUUGCAGGGUAUAGACCCGAAACCCGGUGAUCUAGCCAUGGGCAGGUUGAAGGUUGGGUAACACUAACUGGAGGACCGAACCGACUAAUGUUGAAAAAUUAGCGGAUGACUUGUGGCUGGGGGUGAAAGGCCAAUCAAACCGGGAGAUAGCUGGUUCUCCCCGAAAGCUAUUUAGGUAGCGCCUCGUGAAUUCAUCUCCGGGGGUAGAGCACUGUUUCGGCAAGGGGGUCAUCCCGACUUACCAACCCGAUGCAAACUGCGAAUACCGGAGAAUGUUAUCACGGGAGACACACGGCGGGUGCUAACGUCCGUCGUGAAGAGGGAAACAACCCAGACCGCCAGCUAAGGUCCCAAAGUCAUGGUUAAGUGGGAAACGAUGUGGGAAGGCCCAGACAGCCAGGAUGUUGGCUUAGAAGCAGCCAUCAUUUAAAGAAAGCGUAAUAGCUCACUGGUCGAGUCGGCCUGCGCGGAAGAUGUAACGGGGCUAAACCAUGCACCGAAGCUGCGGCAGCGACGCUUAUGCGUUGUUGGGUAGGGGAGCGUUCUGUAAGCCUGCGAAGGUGUGCUGUGAGGCAUGCUGGAGGUAUCAGAAGUGCGAAUGCUGACAUAAGUAACGAUAAAGCGGGUGAAAAGCCCGCUCGCCGGAAGACCAAGGGUUCCUGUCCAACGUUAAUCGGGGCAGGGUGAGUCGACCCCUAAGGCGAGGCCGAAAGGCGUAGUCGAUGGGAAACAGGUUAAUAUUCCUGUACUUGGUGUUACUGCGAAGGGGGGACGGAGAAGGCUAUGUUGGCCGGGCGACGGUUGUCCCGGUUUAAGCGUGUAGGCUGGUUUUCCAGGCAAAUCCGGAAAAUCAAGGCUGAGGCGUGAUGACGAGGCACUACGGUGCUGAAGCAACAAAUGCCCUGCUUCCAGGAAAAGCCUCUAAGCAUCAGGUAACAUCAAAUCGUACCCCAAACCGACACAGGUGGUCAGGUAGAGAAUACCAAGGCGCUUGAGAGAACUCGGGUGAAGGAACUAGGCAAAAUGGUGCCGUAACUUCGGGAGA
rnacentral:rRNA from 1 species